rnacentral:sRNA from 1 species
GCCAGGCAUGGUAGCUCAUGCCUGUAAUCCCAGGGGCUUGGGAGGCUGAGACAGGAGGAUUGCAGGUUCAAAGCCAGCCUCAGCAAAAGCAAGGUGCUAAGCAAGUCAGUGAGACCCUGUCUCUA